GCUGUUGGGAUGUAAAAAUAGUCUUUCAAUUGAGGUCUGAAAGCACAGUAGGGAAAAUAUAAUAGGAUUAAUAAACAUAUAACAUAUAUUACACAGUUACAGUGAACUCUCAAUGUGUUGACAAGAAAAGAUAAUGAAAUGAAGAUUUACAAAACUGAUCUUCUUACAUACUAGAACAUGCAGAUUUGUAUGACUACUGCACUGUUAUGUAACCUUCUCUUUCUAUUCACUUCAAACAACCUAGAACUAAAUGCAUAGUUCAUUCCUUUACUUCACCUUUCUUGCUUCAUUCACUUUAAAACUCCACCUUUGCAUCUAUUUAUUCCUACAACUGCACCAACAUGCGGCCCUAAAGGUAAAGCUCAGGGUGAAUAAAGCAAGAAAGGUUGGGGAAUUCAGUUUAGUUGUAAGCCAAUUAGAAUAAAUGGAAAGAGAAGGUUGUAUGAGGCUGUAGUGGUACACUGCUCCCUCAAUAUCUGAGAGAUUAAGGGGGCACAAACUUCCAUGUAUGGCAAAUACCUUAUGAAGCUCCAGAAAAAUAACUUUCACUCUUAAAAAAAUCCACUUAAAAAAAAUAUAAAAUAAAUCCAUACUUAAUCCACUAUUGGACUGAGUGCAGCUGACGCUUUUAAAUGUUACAGCAUUAUUUAAGUUUGCUGCAUUGCAAAUAUUUUGUCUCUGAGAGCUACAUGGAGGUCUGUCUUUCCUUCCCCAUACCCCCACCAGCCCUCCAUCUCUUGCUGUAUGGCUGUGUUGCACCAUGCUACAGGUAUCCAUGUACUUCUGAAUUUACCUGAGCAUUAGUGGAGUGUAAAAAUAAUUUUUCUACAGUUACAUGAGGCUGAAGGAGCAUGUUACAAGUGAUCUAUUUCAAUGCUGACUGGGAAGAGGAAAGUCUAGAGUUUUAAUGUCCAAAUUUUGCUCAUUGCUCUAAAGGGCUUUUCAACCAAUCUAUCAAGGGAUGACAAAAAAUGGCCAGCACAAGCGGUAUGCUAAGGCUAUAACUGGUGGGCACUCAGCAGGUUAGUAAAGCAUUUUUGGGACUUGAAAGUAUCAAAAUCUUAGAUAGUAAAUAACCAAGUUUGUCAGUGACAAGCAGUAUUGUAAACAGUUCCUUCUGUAAGUUGUUAGAGGUGGGCUCAACUCAAUGAUAGACCAAUCUAAGGCCCCAUACUUUUAAAUAUCACAAAAUGCGAUAUUUUGCUCAACAGAGAACAAAUCACUGCACUUAGAAUGUUAGAAAAUGUGAGAAUGCAAGUACGUAAGAUUGUAUAAAGUUUGGAUAAAGUUUUGCCCACACAGACUGACGAGAGCAAGACAAGGCAGGAAUCAGACAGGGCAGGCAGCAGUUGUGCACAAGACAUAAUAAAGACAACCCUCACUAGUUCAUCAGAUGUCACAAAAUAUGGCAUUAUUUCACUCAACAGACAGCAAAGAACUACAUAUGUAAUGUUAGAAGACAUGAGUGCAAUUACACAAGGUUCAGGCCUCAAAAUCCACUCUUAGAAACUUUUGAGUGACAGACAGCAACCAGUUGUUACUGAGUGGCUGGUGUCAUUUUCCUUCUCUUCUUCUACUUCCUUGUCGAGACUCAAUGACAUUUUACUUUGUUCAGUAAGGGGAAAAAGGUGUUCUGUAGUGCAAAUGCUCAACAGUUAUAUGCAAGUUAAAUGCAAGUGUGUGCACACCAUCACCAUUAUUAUUUAUUUAAGGCAUGCAAUGGUCACCACUUGCACACUAUAGGACACCUUCACCUCAUACUGAAUUAAAUGUGAUGUCAGUGAGGUUACACAAGAAUGCAAGAUUUGGGGAGGGAUGUGAAUCAAUCACUGGUUUGUCACUCAAAACUUUUAUGGAGAGGAUUUUUAAGCUUAAACUUUGGUGAUCAUGUUCUCAAGUCUUCUAAUGUUACACAUGCACUUCUUUGCUAUCUGAUGAAUGAAAUAAUGCCUUAUUUUAUAUUACUUAAUCAGGAAAAUAGUAAGGGUUGUUUCUGUUGUCUAGUGUAUAACUGCUGCCCAGGCAGGAGCCCAGCUGUGGGCUACAGGCUGCUUUGUCUAAUUCCUCCCUUUGUCUUCUUGGUCUAUUGUCUGUGUGUAUAUAAGUGCAUUAUGAGGUGUUUUGUCUGUGCAUAUAUAAAUGCAUUAUGAGUACUAAACAAUAUGUACUUGCAUUCUUACAUUUCCUAACAUAAUACUGAUGGAAAGACCUAUAAAAUAUACGUGUAUCUGUCACUAUGAUAUAUCUCUGUGAUUCUGCUAUAACAUUAUCUCAUGUGUUGUGAACACCUUUGAAGAUGGGAGUUGUUGUUUACCAAGGAAGGAAGGGGAAAAAUACAUUUUCAGCCAUAUCUUACUAUUUGUAAGAUAUUUAGUGGCACUUAAAAUUAUUUUGCUGUUGCUCUUGUGCCAUAAGAGAAAAUCUGCAAAAUUUGAAUCUGCAAGUGGUGAAAAUGUAAAUACUGGGAAAGCAGUACAUUAAUUGCAUUGUACAUGGCUGCAUUGUGCGGCAUGGGAGUGGAAAAGAAGACAUUAAAAGCAGCAGAGAUCAGGUGUCUAUGAAUGUAGUCUCGACUAACAUGUAAGGAUGGUUAUUUUACAGAGCUAAGAACAGUGAUACUGGAAGAAAUAAGAAAUAAACUGCAUGAAAUCCUUAAGUUUAUCAAUAAGCACUGAAUAAAAAUAUCAAGAGUUCACUGCAUUUCUAAUGAGUUAGAAAAUAUCAACUACGAGGUGCAUUACAUUUCUUACUCCUGGAGAAACAACGUGGAUCACAGGUCCUACCUGCCUGCUGCCAGGGACACCGUCAGUCAGGUCUGGGUGGUGGGAUGAACCUGAGAAUACAAAAGUAUAUUUACUCAUCUUGCAAAAAAAUAAAUAAAAUUACAAGAGCUGGGAGAGGAUAAAUCACCUUGUAGUUCUGACAACUAAUAGUAACCCAUCUAGAUGCCCCAUAAUAUCUAGUUUGCUGGAAUUGUUAAUUACCCAAAGACCAAAGAUGAACUCUGUUUUGUUUUCCCACAAAUAAUGUACAUGUAAAAUUACACAGCAUCCAAUAAGGCUAAAGCAUAUUACAGACAAAACAUACAUCUACAAGCACAACAUUCAAAUGAAGUAGCUAGCCACUACAACACCAACACAACACAACACAACACAACACAGCACAGUGGAGGCGGUGCAGGACUGACCCUGUGGCGUGUACGAGUACUGGUGGUGAGAUACACGUGACACCUGCGAGAAGUGAGUCACGUGGCUCGUGGGGUGCUGGGCUACCUGGUGGUGGUGGCCUACUGUGUGCCCCAUCUGUGGCCUGUGGUGGGCAGCCGCCCCAGCGUGUGGCAUGCCAGGGUGGUGCGGCACACCCACCCAGGACUGGUCGCCAUAUCUGGCCCGGUUGGGUGGUACAGGGGGCCGGGCCAUGACAUGUGGUGGGGCUGAUCUAGGCAGGGGGGGUAAGUCUGCAGAGAAGCCACCAACUCAACAAAGGGGACAACACGGGGGACAGGAUACACAGGCUAAAGGCUAAAGUCAUCUUCAACACAUACAAGACAAGUUUGCAAAAGGCUAAGGACAGACAACUAAAUGCAUAACAGACAUGCUGAAGGUGUAGGAACUAACUGAUGUAAAUGCCUGCAGUGGCAAGGCUGAUAAGGUAGUGGCAUGUGCAGUACUUAUGCAAUGGUUUCACUCACAUCACUUGAAAGUUGCCUGAUCAUUUCCUACAAGACAGGUUUGUACUAAUAGAAAGCAUGUACAUGCCACUAUGCUAUCAGAGGAUAGGAAUGAAGAAGCUAAAUAAAGGAAUUUGUGUUAUGCAACAUUAUUUGGGUUAGGGGACACAUGAAAGGCACAAGCAUGUAUUGAGGACAUUGAAGUCAGCAUGGUUACAACUGGUAAUGACAGGUGUCGAAGAUUUAUAAGCUAUAAGUACAAACAAUACUACUGGUCAGAUGUGUCACUAAAAAUCCAUGAUCAUGCAGUUAUUAUCUAAAGGUUACAUCUAAAGCCCACUUCAUGCAUAUGCAUACUAUGGCCCAACAGGAAAUAUUGCCUUAAAUGUUCUCAUCUACAAGCAUUAUUUACAUGUGUAAGAACAUUCACACCUAGAAAUGUUGUGGCAGAAUUUUGCAAUAUUGGAUUUAUGGUAACCACCAUGUCAUGGUUUCUACAAGUUCCCCUAACAUGGUAUGGUAACAUUUCCUGAUGCAAUCCAGGGCUUGUUUAAAUCCCCUUUUUUUCCUGCCUCUUUUUCAUUAUUCAUUCUUUUUAACUGUGUAAUAAAAUGCAAUCCUGAGUUUAAGCCCUAAUUAACAUACAUCUACCUUUGCUGCAAAAUGUACUCUACCUGUCUUUUCACAAUCCUGAGACAGACCAUUUCAUCUAAGUGUUGUCCUUUAACAUCUUAACAAAUUUCUAUUUAACUUCCUGUUCAUAGCAAGAUACAAUGAAUACCCUUAUACUGCUAUAUUGCAAAAGAUAUAUAGUUGGGACGAAUACCACUGCAGGUAAGAGCUGUGAUUUUUACACAAGUUCUGACAUUCUGAUUAAGUAUUUGGUGCAAUUUCUUACUGCCAGUAGCUAUCCAGAGAGAGAGAGAGAGAGAGAGAGAGAGAGAGAGAGAGAGAGAGAGAGAGAGAGAGAGAGAGAGAGAGAGAGAGAGAA